UAGGGAAUCUUCCACAAUGGACGAAAGUCUGAUGGAGCAACGCCGCGUGAGUGAGAAGGGUUUCGGCUCGUAAACUCUGUUGUUAAAGAAGAACAUAUCUGAGAGUAACUGUUCAGGUAUUGACGGUAUUUAACCAGAAAGCCACGGCUAACUACGUGCCAG
rnacentral:rRNA from 1 species